rnacentral:rRNA from 1 species
CUUUAACGGCCGCAGUACACUGACUGUGCUAAGGUAGCAUAAUAAUUUGUCUUUUAAUUGAGGACUGGAAUGAAAGGCAUCAUGGAAAUAAGCUGUCUUAUUACAAAUUUUUAAAAUUUGCUGGAAGAGGUGAAAAUACCUCUAAUAUAUUUAAUUAGACGAGAAGACCCUUAGAAUUAUAACAAUACUAGUUUUUGUAGUUUGUUUUUGUUGGGGCAACAUUGUCAGAUAGAAAACUGACGAUUUAAUUUAAAUGAAACAGGUCUUUUUUUUAAUUCAAGAAUUUAAUUACCUGAGGGAUAACAGCAUAAUUCAAAAAUGAGAUUAUGACCUCGAUGUUGGACUAGGGACUUUUUCCACUAGUCGUGGUAAAAGAAUGUUCUGUUCGAACAGUAGUACCCUACGUGAUCUGAG